UGUUAAGGAAGAGGAAGGGGAGGAGUUGAUAUUUGAGUAGAAAUAGUAAAGUAUGUGGAAAAUCGGCAAAAACAUCAUGUUAUGAAAUCCUGUCUCAGUGGUAAUUUAUACAGACUUUAACACUGUUUUAUUUGAAGAAUAAGCUGUUUAAUGAAUGGAUCAAUAAAAUUUCACAAAAGUAAACCAAUCAAAACUAAUUAUAUGUUUGAGAAGCAUGAUAAAAUUAUUUUUAUAUGGGAAAACACAUGAAAAUAGACCACAUUUCUCCUGUAUUAUAAAUGCCAUCUUCGUAACAAUCUGUGACUUUGAGUACUGUGUAGUGACUGGAUUGAAAUUACACUGCUUGGGUUUGAAUUCUGGCUCUGGACAGUUGUUAGUAUUGAUCUUGGAAAAGUUAUUAAUUUCUAUAAGCCUCAGUUUCUCCCCUUGAGAGUUGGAGAGAAAAGGGUUAUGGCUAUGUCCAGUGCUCUUUUUGUGUAGCCCUAUGGUGAGACUAGUGUAUCUUUCUAUACAAAGACAUAUAACAUGUCAAAUUGUCAUUGUUAUGAUCUAUUUCCAUCGAUUGGGUCUUCUUUAAGAAAAAUAAGUUUAUUUUGGAUUUUUUGGAUGUUAUAUGAGCAGAAGACAAUUUUAACACCAAAAUCUUUCUAGAAAUUAAUCUUCAAGAAUAUAAAGUAUUUGAAAUUUAAUAGUUCAGUAACUUUGUAUACUGACAUAAUUUGGUAAACAUCUAAUACAUGAGUUUGGAACCAUCUAAUUCUCCACAUGCAUUGAAGUUUAUAAGCUUUGAAGAUUCUCCUAAAUAUAUGCUUUUAUUUCUGGUUAUUUAAAGUCAGUUAAAUUUGAUUAUAAUUUUUUCCUUCAGGUAACAUUCUCAGAGGCAAAUAUUACAAAUAAAUUGUGAAUGUAAAUUAAAAACAUUACAUAGAUUUUCAUCAUUGCCGAAAGUAUGCCCCUAAGUACAUUUCCUCCUUU
rnacentral:lncRNA from 1 species